CCUACGGGGGGCAGCAGUGGGGAAUAUUGCACAAUGGGGGAAACCCUGAUGCAGCGACGCCGCGUGAAGGAAGAAGGUUUUCGGAUCGUAAACUUCUAUCAGCAGGGAAGAAGGAAGUGACAGUACCUGACUAAGAAGCCCCGGCUAACUACGUGCCAGCAGCCGCGGUAAUACGUAGGGGGCAAGCGUUAUCCGGAAUCACUGGGAGUAAAGGGUGCGAAGGAGGUAGGGCAAGUCAGAUGUGAAAGCCCGGGGCUCAACCCCGGGUUUGCAUUUGAAACUGUCUUGCUAGAGUGCAGGAGAGGAAAGCGGAAUUCCUAGUGUAGCGGUGGAAUGCGUAGAUAUUGGGAGGAACACCAGUUGCGAAGGCGGCUCUCUGGACUGUAACUGACGCUGAGGCACGAAAGCGUGGGGAGCGAACAGGAUUAGAUACCCGAGUAGUC
rnacentral:rRNA from 1 species